CUCUCUACCCCGCGCAAGCCUCCCUCUCGAUUUUUCAAAAUUCUUCUCAAAAAUUUCUACAGUUUUAAAAAUCGGUCCAACAAAUGCAAAUAAAUCUUCAUAAACCUCGAUCUAAGGGCUUUAUUGUGGAUGGAAAAUGGUGGUGAUUUAUAUUGAUAAAAUACAUGUAUUCCUACUAUUGCUCAGUUUUGUGGACCAAUUCCUGACUUUUUUUGUUUGUGAGAAGAAAGGGCAAAUAAGUGGGUUUAUAAGAAUUUAGUAGAAUUAUUUGUCCAAUUUUAUGAAAAGAAAUGAAUAGGAAUUUUCAUUAAGAAAUGAUAAAAUGCCUUAAUUAGGAUAGAACUACUUCUAUUUGCUUUCUAUAGAAAAAUGAGAAAUAUUAGUGCUCUUUGAUCAAUCUUGACUGUUAUGGAACAAUCUAUCAAGAUAAACUGUUGUUUUCGACUGUUAUGUUCUGAAAUUCUUGACAGUUAAUACUUUU